rnacentral:rRNA from 1 species
UACGUAGGGUGCGAGCGUUAAUCGGAAUCAUUGGGCGUAAAGCGCGCGUAGGCGGCCCUGUAAGUCCGCUGUGAAAGUCAAAGGCUCAACCUUUGAAAGCCGGUGGAUACUGCAGGGCUAGAGUCCGGAAGAGGCGAGUGGAAUUCCUGGUGUAGCGGUGGAAUGCGCAGAUAUCAGGAAGAACACCUAUGGCGAAGGCAGCUCUCUGGGACGGUACUGACGCUGAGACGCGAAAGCGUGGGGAGCGAACAGG